UAGCGUUGGAUCACUCGGUG
rnacentral:miRNA from 1 species